UCACAAUGGAAGCCUAACAGAUCCCAUUGAAAUUAACAAUAUAAAAUCAUACAGUGGCCUUACUGGCUUUCUUUGUUAAUCUUCCCUUAUGACAUCACACAUGUGACAUCAUCAAGUGUAUGGAGCUAUCUGUACCAGCCACUAGUACAGUCCAGGCCUAAGCUAUCAGAGGGAGUGCACAUAAAGAGCAGGAGAUGAGGAAAAGGACAAGAUGACACAGGAGAGGUGAAUGAUGCCCGGUGAGAAGGGGAACAUGACAUAUACCCUCGUCAACUGCAAGAAAGGAACCACGAGACAGGUGACUGAUGCCCGGUGAGAAGGUGAACGUGACAUAUACCCUCAUCAGCUGCAAGAAAGGAACCACGAGACAGGUGACUGAUGCCCGGUGAGAAGGUGAACGUGACAUGUACCCUCAUCAGCUGCAAGAAAGGAACCACGAGACAGUGUAUGGAGCUAUCUGUACCAGCCACUAGUACAGUCCAGGCCUAAGCUAUCAGAGGGAGUGCACAUAAAGAGCAGGAGAUGAGGAAAAGGACAAGAUGACACAGGAGAGGUACAGAAAUCCUAAAUAUUGCUCAGAAUACAUCUAGAAUUCUAGACUUGCAAAUGAUGACUAGAUCUAAUGAAUAUAAUGUGUCAAAAUCAUAAUGUUAAUUGUAUUAAAUCUAAUUAUUUAACUAGACACUUUGCUGAUGUUCCCAAAUGACCAAGUAUAUAUUGUUUAUUCAAUUUUAUUACACAAAAAGUUGGGGUGUAAGUACUGUAUGGGUAUAUUAAGUCUAAUGGGGGGUGACAGGGAAGUAAUAUGAGUUCUCUGACCUUUAAUAUGACCUCCUGUUAUAACCUAAAAUAAGAAUUUAGGCUGAAUGUAUAUUUCACUAUUAUAAUGCUGGAUUUCAUGUAUGACUAUUAAUACUGAAUCAUAAAAAGAAAUGCAUACAUUGAAUUCUCUUUAACAGGAUUGUCCCAGAGAGCAAAUUUGGUAAAAUCAAAUGUGUGCCCCAUACAUAUAUGGAAAGGGGAACAAAUGUGCUGUUUUUAAGGAAAAUAACUUAUAUCCCUGUAGAGUUCUUCUCCCCCAUGGAUUUGAUCAAGUAGUUUCCUCUCUGAGCUCUAACCCUACUGUUGCCAGGCAACAGAGCACACACUUUCCCACAAUCCCCCUUACUUAUAAGCUCAGUGGAGACAAACUGCCAUUACCUUUAGGAGACUGCAGGUGAACUGAUCAUGUGUUACCCCCGCCAUAGUGGGUCGUAACCAAGGGCAACAGUUAUCAAAACAAUGCGGG